rnacentral:rRNA from 1 species
UACGUAGGGGGCAAGCGUUGUCCGGAAUUAUUGGGCGUAAAGAGCGCGUAGGCGGCUAGGUAAGUCCGACGUGAAAUCUGGAGGCUCAACCUCCAGCGGUCGUUGGAAACUACUUGGCUAGAGUCCGGAAGAGGAGAGUGGAAUUCCUGGUGUAGCGGUGAAAUGCGCAGAUAUCAGGAAGAACACCGAUGGCGAAAGCAGCUCUCUGGGACGGUACUGACGCUGAGGCGCGAAAGCGUGGGGAGCGAGCAGG